rnacentral:rRNA from 1 species
UGGGGAAUUUUUCGCAAUGGGCGCAAGCCUGACGAAGCAACGCCGCGUGGAGGAUGAAGGUCUUCGGAUUGUAAACUCCUGUCGACCGGGACGAAUGCACCCGACCUAAUACGUCGAAGUGUUGACGGUACCGGUGGAGGAAGCCACGGCUAACUCUGUGCCAGCAGCCGCGGUAAUACAGAGGUGGCAAGCGUUGUUCGGAAUUACUGGGCGUAAAGGGCGCGUAGGCGGCCUUAUAAGUCUCGUGUGAAAGCCCUCGGCUUAACUGAGGAUCUGCACGGGAUACUGUAGGGCUCGAGUUCGGGAGAGGAAAGCGGAAUUCCGGGUGUAGCGGUGAAAUGCGUAGAUAUCAAGAGGAACACCUGAGGUGAAGACGGGUUGCUGGGCUAACACUGACGCUCAUGCACGAAAGCGUGGGGAGCAAACAGGAUUAGAUACCCCCGUAGUCCCUGAGCGGGCUGGCAAGGCGCAU